CGGGACGGGUGAGUAAUGUCUGGGAAACUGCCCGAUGGAGGGGGGUAACUACUGGAAACGGUAGCUAAUACCGCAUAAUGUCUGCGGACCAAAGCGGGGGACCUCCGGGCCUCGCGCCAUCAGAUGAACCCAUAUGGGAUUAGCUAGUAGGUAAGGUAACGGCUUACCUAGGCGACGAUCCCUAGCUGGUCUGAGAGGAUGAUCAGCCACACUGGGACUGAGACACGGCCCAG
rnacentral:rRNA from 1 species